CCUACGGGAGGCUGCAGUGGGGAAUAUUGGACAAUGGGGGCAACCCUGAUCCAGCCAUGCCGCGUGUGUGAAGAAGGCCCUCGGGUUGUAAAGCACUUUCAGUGAGGAAGAACGCCUGGUGGUUAAUACCCAUCAGGAAAGACAUCACUCACAGAAGAAGCACCGGCUAACUCCGUGCCAGCAGCCGCGGUAAUACGGAGGGUGCGAGCGUUAAUCGGAAUUACUGGGCGUAAAGCGCGCGUAGGUGGCUUGAUAAGCCGGUUGUGAAAGCCCCGGGCUCAACCUGGGAACGGCAUCCGGAACUGUCAAGCUAGAGUGCGGGAGAGGAAGGUGGAAUUCCCGGUGGAGCGGUGAAAUGCGUAGAGAUCGGGAGGAAGACCAGUGGCGAAGGCGGCUUUCUGGACUGAUACUGACGCUGAGGUGCGAAAGCGUGGGUAGCAAACAGGAUUAGAUACCCCUGUAGUC
rnacentral:rRNA from 1 species